GGGGGACGGGGUGGCUCCGGCCGUGCAGGGUGCGUGGGGCCCGGGCUAAGGCCCCCAAGGGAGUCCGAGCCUCAAACAGCAGCAGCAGAGAGGGUGGCAAGCCUACCGGGCGCUGUGGUGUGGAACCCCAAAACCCACCCUCCCCAGAAGCGGGGUGCACAGGCACCCAGCCUCUGUGGGGUCGCAGUGAGCCCUGGCUUGGCCCCCUCCGGGCUUCCUGCCCGCGCCUGCACACCGUGGUCCACUCGAACGUUUCCCCCCCAAAAUGCAGUUCAUUCUCCUCAGGGUGGCCCCCCAAGGCUGCAAAGGGAGCAGCCUGGGCCCCUGGGAAGCGCCCCCCACAGACAGGCGGGCCGCCCCCUGGGAAACCGGGGUGCUAGCAGCUGCCUUCCCAGAGUCGUUGUGAGGAUUAAUUGAGGAAAUGUCUGCGAGGAGAUAAGACUCCGAGAUACGGACCAUAAAUGUUUGUUGUUACAGCGCGAUAACCCUCGGCCGCCUUAGAGAGCCGCCCCAAUUAGCCCCGAAGCAGCCGCUGCCAGGCCCUCCCCUAAUAUGGGGGAGCCGCGGAGCCCGGGGACUCGCACCCCUUCGAGUCUGCCUUCGACUUCGGGACCGGCCAGCCCAGCUCUCGGACGGACAGACGGACGCUGACCCAGGUGCUGCCCGCCCCCUCCGCAGCCAUGCCGGAAGU